CCCCGGAACCGGUGUUCUCGGAACCGGUGUUCUCGGAACUGGUGUCCUCGGAACCAGGGUCCUCAGAACUGGUGCCCUCCUCCUCCUCCGGUUUCUGCUUUAAUCCCCGCUUGGUUUCAGGCUGACUUCCCUCAGUGAUGGACUGUGACCUGGAAGUGCUUCUUAUUCAAUUCAUGUCGGGGAAAAAAAUUGGAAGCUACAGGAACAUCUAUUACACAAAGAGCAGCUGUUGGGUCUUCAAAAUCCACCUUUGCAUGCCUGGCUCCUAUGUGGUCAGCGGCCUCCCUUAGGGAGUGCUCCUCUGGACUCUGCUAUGGGGACACCAUAAGCCUCUCUCCAGGGGAAAAGCUGACCUCACACACACAAAGCUCAUCUCCCUGAAGGAUGAUGUUACCCGCUGUCUCUGCUGUCCCUGCUGUCCCUGCUGUCUGGAAUACCAUUCGCCAUGUUUUCCAUAGCUGCUUCUUUCUAAUCUGGGUCUCUGUUCCUCUCACGAAGUGUCCUGACUCCAAGUCCUCGGUCUGCUUCCCCAAGGUGGUGACCUGCCACCAUGUGUUAAUCUGAUCUUUGGAGGUGACUGGGGCAGGAGGGCCCAUCUCUUCUGUGUGCUGUGUUUGCUGGAUCAAAUUACCACCCUUCUCUGUGUGUGUGUGUGUGUGUGUGUGUGUGUGUGUGUGUGUG